rnacentral:rRNA from 1 species
UACGUAGGGACCAAGCGUUGUCCGGAAUCAUUGGGCGUAAAGCGCGCGUAGGCGGCCCGGUAAGUCCGUUGUAAAAGUCGAAGGCUCAACCUUCGAAAGCCGAUGGAUACUGCCGGGCUAGAGUACGGAAGAGGCGAGUAGAAUUCCUGGUGUAGCGGUGGAAUGCGCAGAUAUCAGGAGGAAUACCCGUAGCGAAGGCGGCUCGCUGGGCCACACCUGACGCUGAGACGCGAAAGCUAGGGGAGCGAACAGG